ACGGAGGAUGCGAGCGUUAUCCGGAUUCAUUGGGUUUAAAGGGUGCGUAGGCGGACUAUUAAGUCAGUGGUGAAAUCCUGCAGCUUAACUGCAGAACUGCCAUUGAUACUGAUAGCCUUGAGUUUGGUUAAGGUAGGCGGAAUGUGUAAUGUAGCGGUGAAAUGCUUAGAUAUUACACAGAACACCAAUUGCGUGGGCAGCUUACUGAGCCGACCCUCACGCUGAGACACGUGAGCAUGGGGAUCGAAAAG
rnacentral:rRNA from 1 species